AUUUCAUCAAUUGAGAAUGGGUCAGUGAGAAAUUUUGGGCAUGAAUUAACAGAAUUAAACUGUUUGUCAUCAAAAGGUGAGUGUACAAAAUCAGGAGUAUAUUUGCGUAAAAAAUCAUUGACCCAUGAUAUAUCUUUAAAAUGAUUUUGACGAUGUUUUGAAUUUAGUUUUCUCAUAUUUUGCCAAACAGUGGAAAUUGGUGUUAAUCUAUUAAAUUUGGAACAAAAUUCCUGCCACCCCUGUUGUCUUACUUGCUUAAUUACUAACUUUUUAACAGCUUGAACUCUUUUAAAAUUUAUGUAAUUAUCGAGAGUUGGAUUUUGUUUAAACCUAAGGUAAGCCGCUUUACUAUCAUUGACAGCUGUCGCACACCUGUUAUUCCACCAAGGUACUGCAAUAUGUUUGUGCCUCUUUGAAGUAUUUGCACCGCUAUUUGAUAAGUUCCUACGUGGAACGGAACGUUCCACAGCUGUCAAAAUAAUUUUACAGAACCUAUUGUAAUUGUUUAAGGGUUCAUUGACAUCAUACUCGAAAUCCAAAAGUAAUCGAUUAACAGUUUCAGAAUAAAGAUCCCAAUUAACGAGACGUAGGUUUAUACGAUUUAACAAAAGUUUAUUAACUUCAUCUAUAGGAGCAUGUUGUUCACCUGACGGAGUUGAUGAAGAGUUCUUUGUGUUUAUUUUAGUAAAAGUCGGCAGAUGCUGCAACGCUCAGAAUUCUUACAGAAUUUAGCUAAAUGUCCAUACCUCAAGCACCGGUAGCAUUGUUUAACUGGUGGUAUAUAUGGAGUGACAUUGUGGCGCCAACCUCCAAUAUCCAGAUAUUCAGGUAAUACAGAUGCAGCAAAAGUAAUUGUCACGGUUAGAGUUGGCUGUAACACAUAUCCAUGAGUCAAGGUAUUUUUUCUUAAAAUUCUUUUAAUAGCAAUAAUUUUCUUAGAACUCGAUAUCAUAGUAUAUAUUUUUUUAUUAGAUAUAUUUGUAGGUACAUUUCUAAUAACGCCUGUAACUUCUGUUGAAGAAGCAGGAAUACUGGCCUUAAAAUGGUAGUCAUUUAAAAAAGUUUUAUUAUUUAAAAAAGCAUUGGCUAAGUCUGGCUUUUGAAAGUAUACUCCGAUUUUGAAUUUAUUUAUAGAUCUAAGAUAAGUUACCCCUUUAUUAAAUCGUUUUAAACAGGAGGAGAGUGAGAGCAAGUCUCUGGAUCCAAUGGUUUUCUGACUAUCUGAGGAUUCUACAAAGACAACAAAUUCUGUCCCAGGGGAUUCCUCGGGAUAUCUUCUAAUAUAAUCUGUGACGUAGUAAGGUUUAUACUUAUCGGCCUUAUCAAUUUCAGAUUCUGAGUCAGUAGAAGUAUCUUCCGAAUAUAUAUCCUUGUCAUUACAAGGUUCAUGGUCUACAUCACCUGAAUCGUCAUCUUUUUUUUUCCUUUUUCUACAACUGCGCUUCCCCAUGAAUGCUAAUUAUAUUACUGUCGCUGAAUUUAGUGAAAAUAUAAUAUUUUAUUAAAUAAUAAGAAUUGAUAGAGAUAGUUUUAAUAAAUUAAUAAAAAAAAUUUAAAAAA